AGUGAACGCUGGCGGUAGGCCUAACACAUGCAAGUCGAACGGCAGCACAGUAAGAGCUUGCUCUUACGGGUGGCGAGUGGCGGACGGGUGAGGAAUACAUCGGAAUCUACUUUUUCGUGGGGGAUAACGUAGGGAAACUUACGCUAAUACCGCAUACGACCUACGGGUGAAAGCAGGGGAUCUUCGGACCUUGCGCGAUUGAAUGAGCCGAUGUCGGAUUAGCUAGUUGGCGGGGUAAAGGCCCACCAAGGCGACGAUCCGUAGCUGGUCUGAGAGGAUGAUCAGCCAAACUGGAACUGAGACACGGUCCAGACUCCUACGGGAGGCAGCAGUGGGGAAUAUUGGACAAAGGGCGCAAGCCUGAUCCAGCCAUACCGCGUGGGUGAAGAAGGCCUUCGGGUUGUAAAGCCCUUUUGUUGGGAAAGAAAAGCAGCAGGUUAAUACCCCGCUGUUCUGACGGUACCAAAAGAAUAAGCACCGGCUAACUUCGUG
rnacentral:rRNA from 1 species